rnacentral:lncRNA from 13 species
CUUCCGGCACAGCCUGCAGCCCUGGAAGACAUCAAUAUGUUGUCUCACGUCCGAUGAAGAAAGAAAACAGCAUCCUAAACACAUCCCACUCCCUGAGGGUGCAGAACUCUUGGAUGACAAAGAGGCAGCCAUGGAAUGACGCAGCACAGAGGCCCUCAUCAGGGGCUGGCGCCAUGCUCUUGGACUUCCCAGCCUCCAGAACGAUGACCAAAGAUGAAAGGAGAGUCCCCUGUGUGCAUGGCUAAGGGCCACACAGUCCCCUCCCUUCCAAUCUCUGCGCUGGGAAGAGUCCAGGACCCAUCAGCACCCAGACUGAAGCCUGCACCUGGCUCAGCUCCUUCCUAUCCCUGUGGUCAUGGGUAAGUCAGUUACCUUCUCUGUAAGGCAGAACUAAUACUGACUUUGACUUUUCCACUGGACUUCUGUAGCCAUCCAAAUGGCUGACCAAGGACUAUGAAAUAUUUCUGGUUAUUGUUAAUGUGUGUAAUACAAAAUUAAUAAACGAAGCUCAUUCUAUCCA